GUGAACGCUGGCGGUAGGCCUAACACAUGCCAGUCGAACGGCAGCACAGUAAGAGCUUGCUCUUACGGGUGGCGAGUGGCGGACGGGUGAGGAAUACAUCGGAAUCUACUUUUUCGUGGGGGAUAACGUAGGGAAACUUACGCUAAUACCGCAUACGACCUACGGGUGAAAGCAGGGGAUCUUCGGACCUUGCGCGAUUGAAUGAGCCGAUGUCGGGUUAGCUAGUUGGCGGGGUAAAGGCCCACCAAGGCGACGAUCCGUAGCUGGUCUGAGAGGAUGAUCAGCCACACUGGAACUGAGACACGGUCCAGACUCCUACGGGAGGCAGCAGUGGGGAAUAUUGGACAAUGGGCGCAAGCCUGAUCCAGCCAUACCGCGUGGGUGAAGAAGGCCUUCGGGUUGUAAAGCCCUUUUGUUGGGAAAGAAAAGCAGCAGGUUAAUACCCCGCUGUUCUGACGGUACCCAAAGAAUAAGCACCGGCUAACUUCGUG
rnacentral:rRNA from 1 species